GUCAAACUCUCAAACCACUAAGCCAAGACUGCCAAAAUGUGAGCAUGCAAAUUUCAGCACUACAUUGCUAAACGCUGCAAACACGCGUUAUAACCUAAUUAGCCUGCUAAUCCUUUAUAUUUUAUAUUAGUUCAUGUUGCUUUUGUGCAAUAGAUGAUGAGUCCUGUGAAUCUAAAAAAGUAAUCAAAUUGGGCGUGAGUAAAUGAACCAUGCAGUUAAUGUAGAGAUAUCUAUGCAAACACCACAACAACCACAGACUAGUUCUGUCUUUGGCUCAGUGACAGAAGAGGCGUCACCAGUAAAGUGCACUUCUCUUAACCUCUUAACCUCAGACACUUCAACAUCACACAUCAGAACUACACUGGAGAUUCACUAGACUGGAUUCAACACAAGAGAUGAUGAAAAAUAGUUUAACAGAAAUUAAUUCAUGGGAGAAGAUCUGUGCAGAAUCACAAACUGAAGGAGAAUUAAACAGAGAGGAAAAGAAAAAUGUCAAACAAAGAGGAUGAGAUAAAAUGUAAUGAACCAGAAGAGAAAAACCUCCUGAGACGAGUCAGACGGAACAGUAUUAACAGUGGAAGACCAAACUUUUCUGAUGAUGCAGACAGGUUUAUUCAGAGUGACUCUCAGAUGAGACAGGAGCAGCUUCUUUCGUCUGACCAGCAGAAUAUUCUUUAUAUUCAGUCUCUAACAAAACACUGCUUUAUUUUAGAUCGUUUGUUCUAUUUUUGUGUUACUAUCUUUUCAAAGUAUUAUAGACUAUAUAAUUAGCCAAUAUCAACUUCAUUCACUGUAUAAUGUAUAAUUAUUUCAUUUAUUUUUUUUCAAAACUAAUAACAAGAGCAUUAUCUGAAAAACUAUUGU